AGUUGGGCUGGGCCUAAGGCUAGGUUCAGGCCACCCCUCCCCAAGGGCACUGGCUGCUUCACUGCCAAUCCUUCCAGGGAAGGCUGGCCUGGGUUCAAGAGGACCAUGUCCAAGUGGGAGGAGCCCUGGUGGGAAGCCUCCCUACCCUCCCACAGAAAGCAGCAGAAGAACAAGAAGAAAAUCACUAGUGUUUCCUGGGGACUCACAUCUAAGCUCUAGGUGAGAAAGAGGCCCAUACCCCUCGGCCUGCAGCCCACCCUCUCCUCCCCUGAAAGGACGGAUGAACAGCUGGCCACCCCAAGUCUUCCAGCCCCUUCGACGAUAUCACCCCACCCCAAGGAAACCACUUUCACCACGGGAAGUCAGACAUGGAAACUGCCUUGCAGCAAGAAGCUACAGCAAUGAGGUGGCCUCUCCAGGCCCGGAGCUCUCCCCCCACCCCCCCACCGGCUGUAUUUAGCCAUCCUGUUAGGCCUCCAAGAGGCGAUAAGUCCCUGGCCACACCAGCUGAGAUAGCUUAGCAAACUCCACAGCUGCCAGCCUCCCCACCAGCCCAGUCCAGGCCAGGCCAAGCCAGUCCAGUGGUUCAGAGGAGGAGGCCCAUGCUGGGUUGUGCUCAGGAGGAAAAUUCCAACUGCCUAUUUGGGGGACUCUUGGGCUGAAUGGAAAGGGGGAGGUGGGGACAGGAAUACAGUCUGCCCUGAAACUGGCGGACUACCUGGAUGGGACAGCCGGAAGAGACCCCUGGGGGCAGGAGCCCCCAAGGAUGCCCAGGUCCCUGUCCAGCUAUGUAAAAAACGAAGAGCCCCAACAAGCUCUGGGUAGAUAGCUGAGUGUCUGGAAUGUAAACAUUUCCCAGGAAAAGAAGGGCAGGGGAUGGAUCAGCUACGUGAGACAAGCUCCCUGGGGCCCUGCUAGGCCUCCACUAGCCCCAGGUUACUGGCUCUGCAGGAAGUCAGCUGCCGAGCCUGGGAGAAGGUUCCCUAGACAAGUAGCAUUUUCCCAUCAUCACCUGCAGCAGCAGUUCAGGGUAAAAGCCUGGAAUUUGGAAUCUAGAGGACUCUUAGGAACAUAUCCUCAGAGGCUUGGUGGCCAGUAGCAGGCCCCACACCUUGUGCUGCCAGAACAGCAGCCACAAGACAAAGUAUGCAGUGGAGCUAUUCCCACAGAUGAACUGUUUUCCACAUUUUCCCUCACUUCAAUGAAUUUUCAUUUCAGAAGGGAUGUUCUGUUCAGCUACUGGACAACUUCCAAGUAUGUCUGGAACAACCUGAGUUCCAAAAGAAGAGGGGCUGGACUCAGGCAGACUAACUUCAAAUGCCCCCUUUUUGACUAUAAAUCUUCUGAACUCUAAAUACAGAGUCACAUAUUUCCAAAGAAAAUUUAUGUCAGGGGGCCGGGGAUUUAGCUCAGUGGUUCCGCCACUUGCCU